UGAUCUGAGUGACAAUGUGAUUACUUGGAGGAAAGAUGGAAGUGACGUUCUUACAUCUUUUGUUGGGCAGACUCAGAUCAACUUCCCAAACCCAAUCCAGACAUCCGACCAAGGAAUCUAUGAGAUCUACUAUAAUAACGAGAGGGAUCAAAAUAGAGGAGGAUUAUACAGACUCAUUGUCAGAGAAUGCCCGGCUGGUAAGUGGGGUCCCCCUGAUUGCUAUGGUAUCUGUGAUAACUGCUACAAUGGUGGAGUCUGUGAUGACAAGUCUGGUCUAUGUAUCUGUCCUAACAACUUCAAUGGAACGAAUUGUUUAGAAAUUUGUAGAAAUGGUGGUGGAAAUCGAUUUGGAUUGAACUGCGAGUUUCAAUGUACUGUAACCAAUGAUCCUGCCACAAAAUGUCAUGGGUAUCUUUUUUGCCUGCCUGAUCCCUAUGGAUGUUCAUGUGACGUCGGUGCCCAUGGUCGGGCAUG